CUGGCUCUUUUGAUAAUCAGACAAAAGAAACAGUCUCUUUUCUUCAGGAAAAACAUGCAGCUGGUCCUUGGGAAAUGACCUUACCACAGCCCCCAGCCGCAGGAAGCAAAAUGACUCUCUUCUACAUCAGCAGCACCAGUUCCCCAGGCUGAAGAAACAAGACCCCCUCUGCAGGCAUAUUUCCCUGUGUCAAUGGAAAGGAACAACAAGGAGGCUUCUCAGUGGGUCUUAAAAUCACUUGGAUGUGAUGCAUGAAGCCGACACCUUCAAGGGCAAUUAAUAGAAAGUCUGUGGUGAUCUCUACAGCAAGAAAUACUGAGGCAACGUGAAGUCUUUCCAAGAAAGGGUUCUGGGGAAUUUAUGUAAUGUGUCUCCAAAGAUCUUACUUCAAAACCAAACAAGCAAAA